rnacentral:rRNA from 1 species
GUAGGGCGGGACACGUGGUAUCCUGUCUGAAUAUGGGGGGACCAUCCUCCAAGGCUAAAUACUCCUGACUGACCGAUAGUGAACCAGUACCGUGAGGGAAAGGCGAAAAGAACCCCGGCGAGGGGAGUGAAAAAGAACCUGAAACCGUGUACGUACAAGCAGUGGGAGCCUCUUUAUGGGGUGACUGCGUACCUUUUGUAUAAUGGGUCAGCGACUUAUAUUCUGUAGCAAGGUUAACCGAAUAGGGGAGCCGAAGGGAAACCGAGUCUUAACUGGGCGUUAAGUUGCAGGGUAUAGACCCGAAACCCGGUGAUCUAGCCAUGGGCAGGUUGAAGGUUGGGUAACACUAACUGGAGGACCGAACCGACUAAUGUUGAAAAAUUAGCGGAUGACUUGUGGCUGGGGGUGAAAGGCCAAUCAAACCGGGAGAUAGCUGGUUCUCCCCGAAAGCUAUUUAGGUAGCGCCUCGUGAAUUCAUCUCCGGGGGUAGAGCACUGUUUCGGCAAGGGGGUCAUCCCGACUUACCAACCCGAUGCAAACUGCGAAUACCGGAGAAUGUUAUCACGGGAGACACACGGCGGGUGCUAACGUCCGUCGUGAAGAGGGAAACAACCCAGACCGCCAGCUAAGGUCCCAAAGUCAUGGUUAAGUGGGAAACGAUGUGGGAAGGCCCAGACAGCCAGGAUGUUGGCUUAGAAGCAGCCAUCAUUUAAAGAAAGCGUAAUAGCUCACUGGUCGAGUCGGCCUGCGCGGAAGAUGUAACGGGGCUAAACCAUGCACCGAAGCUGCGGCAGCGACACUAUGUGUUGUUGGGUAGGGGAGCGUUCUGUAAGCCUGUGAAGGUGGCCUGUGAGGGUUGCUGGAGGUAUCAGAAGUGCGAAUGCUGACAUAAGUAACGAUAAAGCGGGUGAAAAGCCCGCUCGCCGGAAGACCAAGGGUUCCUGUCCAACGUUAAUCGGGGCAGGGUGAGUCGACCCCUAAGGCGAGGCCGAAAGGCGUAGUCGAUGGGAAACAGGUUAAUAUUCCUGUACUUGGUGUUACUGCGAAGGGGGGACGGAGAAGGCUAUGUUGGCCGGGCGACGGUUGUCCCGGUUUAAGCGUGUAGGCUGGUUUUCCAGGCAAAUCCGGAAAACCAAGGCUGAGGCGUGAUGACGAGGCACUACGGUGCUGAAGCGACAAAUGCCCUGCUUCCAGGAAAAGCCUCUAAGCAUCAGGUAACAUCAAAUCGUACCCCAAACCGACACAGGUGGUCAGGUAGAGAAUACCAAGGCGCUUGAGAGAACUCGGGUGAAGGAACUAGGCAAAAUGGUGCCGUAACUUCGGGAGAAGGCACGCUGAUAUGUAGGUGAAGCGACUUGCUCGUGGAGCUGAAAUCAGUCGAAGAUACCAGCUGGCUGCAACUGUUUAUUAAAAACACAGCACUGUGCAAACACGAAAGUGGACGUAUACGGUGUGACGCCUGCCCGGUGCCGGAAGGUUAAUUGAUGGGGUUAGCGGUAACGCGAAGCUCUUGAUCGAAGCCCCGGUAAACGGCGGCCGUAACUAUAACGGUCCUAAGGUAGCGAAAUUCCUUGUCGGGUAAGUUCCGACCUGCACGAAUGGCGUAAUGAUGGCCAGGCUGUCUCCACCCGAGACUCAGUGAAAUUGAACUCGCUGUGAAGAUGCAGUGUACCCGCGGCAAGACGGAAAGACCCCGUGAACCUUUACUAUAGCUUGACACUGAACAUUGAGCCUUGAUGUGUAGGAUAGGUGGGAGGCUUUGAAGUGUGGACGCCAGUCUGCAUGGAGCCGACCUUGAAAUACCACCCUUUAAUGUUUGAUGUUCUAACGUUGGCCCGUAAUCCGGGUUGCGGACAGUGUCUGGUGGGUAGUUUGACUGGGGCGGUCUCCUCCUAAAGAGUAACGGAGGAGCACGAAGGUUGGCUAAUCCUGGUCGGACAUCAGGAGGUUAGUGCAAUGGCAUAAGCCAGCUUGACUGCGAGCGUGACGGCGCGAGCAGGUGCGAAAGCAGGUCAUAGUGAUCCGGUGGUUCUGAAUGGAAGGGCCAUCGCUCAACGGAUAAAAGGUACUCCGGGGAUAACAGGCUGAUACCGCCCAAGAGUUCAUAUCGACGGCGGUGUUUGGCACCUCGAUGUCGGCUCAUCACAUCCUGGGGCUGAAGUAGGUCCCAAGGGUAUGGCUGUUCGCCAUUUAAAGUGGUACGCGAGCUGGGUUUAGAACGUCGUGAGACAGUUCGGUCCCUAUCUGCCGUGGGCGCUGGAGAACUGAGGGGGGCUGCUCCUAGUACGAGAGGACCGGAGUGGACGCAUCACUGGUGUUCGGGUUGUCAUGCCAAUGGCACUGCCCGGUAGCUAAAUGCGGAAGAGAUAAGUGCUGAAAGCAUCUAAGCACGAAACUUGCCCCGAGAUGAGUUCUCCCUGACUCCUUGAGAGUCCUGAAGGAACGUUGAAGACGACGACGUUGAUAGGCCGGGUGUGUAAGCGCAGCGAUGCGUUGAGCUAACCGGUACUAAUGAACCGUGAGG